CGGCAACUCCUCGACGGCCACGACGUCGAGGCCAGGAACCAGCUCUUCCGAUUAAUGGAGGAGGGGGCCGUCUUCCGGCCGCGGGAGCUGUCGGGUGGGCGGGUGUUUGUGGCGCCGGAUUACAACGAUCCGAUGGAGCGGCAACGGGAGGCGACGAUGCGGCGGAUCGAGUAUAUGCUGGGGCGCGGGGUGUUUGAGGGCUGGCUGACGAGGACAGGGGAGGAGGCGGAGAUGCGGCGGUUUGCGAUGAACGAGUG
rnacentral:misc_RNA from 1 species